rnacentral:rRNA from 1 species
AGCAGCCGCGGUAAUUCCAGCUCCAAUAGCGUAUAUUAAAGUUGCUGCAGUUAAAAAGCUCGUAGUUGAAUUUCGGGACCGAUAUAUCGGUCGUGCCUCGGUACGUACUGGUAUUUUCGGUUUCUCCCUUCUGACGAGCCUUGAUGUCAUUAAUUUGGUGUCUUGGGGAAUCAGGACUGUUACUUUGAAAAAAUUAGAGUGUUUAAAGCAGGCUCACGCUUGAAUACAUUAGCAUGGAAUAAUGAAAUAGGACGUUUGAUUCUAUUUUGUUGGUUUCUAGGAUCGACGUAAUGAUUAAUAGGGAUAGUUGGGGGGCAUUAGUAUUCAAUUGUCAGAGGUGAAAUUCUUGGAUUUAUUGAAGACUAACUACUGCGAAAGCAUUUGCCAAGGGAUGUUUUCAUUAAUCAAGAACGAAGGUUAGGGAUCGAAACGAUCAGAUACCGUUGUAGUCUUAACAGUAACUAUGCCGACUGGGGAUCGGGAUGGACCUUCAAAUUUGAUGCGUCAGUUCGGCUACCCG